rnacentral:lncRNA from 1 species
AAACAGUUUUGAGUAGAAUAUGGAAUCAUGGAUGUGGUGUUUCCUUCUCUGUUCCCAUUUGCUCAUCCUUUAUUUUUCACCCUCUCAUUCUCUUGGACCAGAUACCAUACAAAGAAUUUCACAUAAUGUAAAUGCACGGGGUUCUUCUUUAAUUUUGAUUUUGUGGAAUUUAUCUCUAUAUUUGGUUGAUAUAUUUGAAACUUGAUAGCGAUUAGCUGAUGUAUCAGUCAACUGACCCUAGUAUGGAAAAAGAAUACGGUGAAGGCAGAAUUUUUCCACAAACUAAUGUAUCAGCGUGAGUUUCGUUUAAUUUUUUUUUAUUUAAAUAUUUUUGUGGACGUGUUUUAAUUUUCCUUUUUGAUGUGAUUGGCGAGCUUAAUUUUCUAACUCAUAUUUUAAGGGUUGGCAGACUUGGAAAACAAUUGCUUUGAUUUAACUGAACUGGCUGUUUAUACAUGUUUUCUUUUUAGAAUCAUAUCAUAUGUUGGUGAAGUAGAUAGUGGGAGCUUAUGUUUUGGACAGAAAUUGUGUCCUCAAACUUUCAUGUGAUAAGACAAAUUAACUUCUGAAUUUUCACAAUAAUACAGUUCUAUGCUAUCAUAAGAAAAAAAAAAAACCACCAAUAACUUGUAGAUGCAUUUUCUCUUAAACAGGUGGUAUUCUCUGUGUUCAAUUAUAUCUUUUGGCUGGAAUCUUCCGUCUUCAUAUGUUGGGGAUUAAAAUAUUUAAUAGGGAUUAAUUAACAGGAACAUAUAUAUCCAGAAAACAAGUUGUGUUCAAUUUUCCUUUUUGAUGUGAUUAGAGUGUCUAAUUUUCUAACCCAUAGUUUAAAGGUUGGAAGACUAUUGUUUGGUUCAACUAAAUUGGUUUAUACAUGUUUUGUUUUCUGAAUGAUAUGUAGCAUGCUUUCUGCGUUAGAAAACUAAGUCAGUCAAUCACAUGAGACAAAAAUUAAAUAUUUUCAUGGUCACCGUUGUAAUAGCUUGCUACAUUAAACAUAAUUAGUAAUAUUUUUUUUAAUUAUUAUCAAAACAAGGAUAAAAUUUUCAUGAUUAAACAAAAUAUUUAUUAAAGUUAUUUAAAAAUGAUGGAUUAGUAAAAGCGAUGUAAAGGCAUAAAUUAUUAUAUAAAGAAUUAUCUUCCAAAAAUAAAAUCAACUCAUGAUACAAAAAUAAACAGAGUUUGAAGAAUAUAUAUAUAUAUUCUGUGAAUUGAAUAAUAGUUGGGGGGGCGGGACCUAGGAUUUAUCUAGACAUAGCUUUCCAACUCUUAACAACUAAAACUUCAAGACACAACCCCCGAUUAGAAGAUCAACAGUACUUACACCUCA